rnacentral:tRNA from 1 species
UAAGAGAAAGCAAAUUAAUUGCAUUUAAUUGUUAAUUAAAAGUAAGUUAUAAACUCUCUUAG